ensembl:lncRNA
GUUACACAAUCCUCUACAAUUCAUGAGGUCUAUCUAAUUUCAGCUUGGUCUGCUGGCUCCAGAAAAUGCUGUUUGGACACCGUUCUACCUCCAGAUUCAUGCUGAGGGAAAUUUAUCCAACGGUGAAUACAAAGGACAUGGACAUGGACAUUCGCUGGAUUUGAGAGCAUAAUUCCUGUUUCUCUCAAUUACUGCAAGUUGCCCAGGCCCUGAAGCAGCAAAGCAUCCCCACACCAUCACAACUCCACCACCAUGCUGGACUGUAGGUAUGAUGUUCUUUCUGUGGAAUUUGGUGUUUGGUUUACAUCAGAUGUAACAGGACACCUGUCUUGGAAAUAGUUCCACUUUCAACUCACAGAACAUUCUCCCAAAAGGUUUAGGGAUCAUCAAAGUGUGUUUUGGUAAAAUUGGGCGGUUGUGGCUCAGGUGGUAGAGUGGGGUGUCCACUAAUCGUAGGGUUGGCGAUUCGUUUCCCGGCCCACGUGACAUGCCAAAGUGUCCUUGGGCAAGACACUGAACCCCAAGUUGCUCCCAAUGGCAAGUUAGUGCCUUGCAUGGCAGCUCUGCUACCAUUGGUGUGUGUCUGUGUGUGUGAAUAGGUGAAUGAGACACAGUGAAAAGCGCUAUGUAAGCACCAUUUUUGCCCAGUGUUUAUCAGAAGAUAGUGGAGUCAUGAACAGUGACCUUUAUUGAUUCAAGAGAGGCCUGUAGUUCCUUGAAUCGUUGCUGUGCUCUUUGAGGACUUUUUGGAAGUUCGGCCACUUCUGGGAAGGUUCACUCCUGUGCCAGGUUUUUCCAUUUGGAGAUAAUGGCUCUCACUGUGGUUCUUUGGAAUCCCAGAGUUUUUGAAAUGGCUUACUUCCCAGACUGGGGUAUUUCAAUCAGUUUGGGAUUUUGGCAUAGUGUCUUCCUGGGUAAGACCUUUUUCAACAACAUGAAGUUGGUUAAAAGUUCUGUUUAAGUUUUGAUGUGAUUGACCAGGGUUUGCAGUAAUUGGGCCUGGUUCUAGUCUAGCUGAACCCCAUUAUGAAUGCAGAGUAAUAGAUUUGGGGAAUCAGUAACUACGGAGGAAAGCACAGGCCCAGUUGGUACUGUAUAAUAUUUUUGCUUCAAUUAAUAACGUUAUCAUUUGAAAACUGUGUUUGUGUUUACUCAGAUUGCCUUUGUUUUAAUUUCUGAAACAACUUAGUAUGAAAUGAACAAAAACAGAAGAAAGCUGAAAUACUUUCACAGCGCUGUAGGUAAAGGAAUGACUGUUUAUAGCUGUUGUAUGUUAGUAAUAACAGGACAUCCCACAACAUUAAACGUAAUUAUAAAUGGACAAAAAAUCUGACGUGAUUUUCAUCAAUAAAUUAAAUACUGCCGUCAUUGGCAAAUUGCUGGGGUAUAAGAGGAAUAAAACAUGUGGCAGCAAUAGCUCUACUCCAUGGUUGAUUUAUUUUCCUCUAACAGUAUGCCUCAUGUUUUAUUAUUUACGUAAGAGACGCCACGCUUAACUUCUCUUCUUUCUCACGCUGAAACUAAAAAAAGAAA